UAGGAUGUUGCAUGGGAUGUUGAGUGCACGUGGGCUGCUGAAUGAUAGAGUGGUGCAGCUUCUCACAGACGUGGCAACAGCCCAUGAAGGUUGGACUUGAAGCUGGACUCCUCACUGACACUGCACUUGCUGGGACGUUGUUGGAGCGUAGUGUGCUGUAUGCUAAACAAUUGGGCCGUGGCAGAUUUUUUUAUUCAGCUGAAGCACACUUCUCUUUCACCAAGCAACUCUCCCAACUUGUGCAACACUAGC
rnacentral:lncRNA from 1 species